rnacentral:rRNA from 1 species
ACUCCCAAACCCCUGUGAACAUACCUAUACGUUGCCUCGGCGGAUCAGCCCGCGCCCCGUAAAACGGGACGGCCCGCCCGAGGACCCCUAAACUCUGUUUUUAGUGGAACUUCUGAGUAAAACAAACAAAUAAAUCAAAACUUUCAACAACGGAUCUCUUGGUUCUGGCAUCGAUGAAGAACGCAGCAAAAUGCGAUAAGUAAUGUGAAUUGCAGAAUUCAGUGAAUCAUCGAAUCUUUGAACGCACAUUGCGCCCGCCAGUAUUCUGGCGGGCAUGCCUGUUCGAGCGUCAUUUCAACCCUCAAGCUCAGCUUGGUGUUGGGACUCGCGGUAACCCGCGUUCCCCAAAUCGAUUGGCGGUCACGUCGAGCUUCCAUAGCGUAGUAAUCAUACACCUCGUUACUGGUAAUCGUCGCGGCCACGCCGUAAAACCCCAACUUCUGAAUGUGACCUCGGAUCAGGUAGGAAUACCCGCUG